rnacentral:rRNA from 1 species
CGCUGACGAGUGGCGAACGGGUGAGUAACACGUGGAGACCUGCCCAGGGGUGCGGAACAACAGUUAGAAAUGACUGCUAAUACCGCAUACGUCCUAUGGGAGAAAGAUUUAUUGCCCUUGGAGGGGUCCGCGUCGGAUUAGCUAGUUGGUGGGGUAACGGCCUACCAAGGCGACGAUCCGUAGCUGUUCUUAGAGGAAGAUCAGCCACACUGGGACUGAGACACGGCCCAGACUCC